UACGUAGGGUGCAAGCGUUGUCCGGAAUUAUUGGGCGUAAAGAGCUCGUAGGCGGUCUGUCGCGUCGGCUGUGAAAACUCGGGGCUCAACCCCGAGCCUGCAGUCGAUACGGGCAGACUAGAGUGCUGUAGGGGAGACUGGAAUUCCUGGUGUAGCGGUGAAAUGCGCAGAUAUCAGGAGGAACACCGGCGGCGAAGGCGGGUCUCUGGGCCAUAACUGACGCUGAGGAGCGAAAGCGUGGGGAGCGAACAGG
rnacentral:rRNA from 1 species